rnacentral:lncRNA from 1 species
GCAAACAUCAUGAAGUCUUUACUGAUCUGCUUUUUCCUUGUGAGUGCAGCUUCUGCCAUGAUAAUGUUCCGCCACCCCUUCCGCCGACCUGGGUCAAGAUGCUUUGAAGAACAAGGGGUAAAAAAAAGUUCUUGAUAUUUAAUUGUGCUUACUGGGCUCAAGCCAAUUUCACAACACCACUGUAAAAAAAAACCCUGUCUGCGAAUUUGCAUGUGCAAAGGUGAUGUCUGAAUGCACAAACACUGUACACAGGUUCACUGGUUUAGCCACAUUAGAAAGAUACAUCGCUGCAGUCUUCACUGUAUCACUGGAAUUCCAGCAGUGUAAACAGACAGCAAUUGUGACUGACACUGACCAACUCAGCAAUAACCCAGGACAGACUGCGAUUGCUCCUACACUGCAACAGGUGUAGCUCAUAACCUGCUUAGAUGUCAUAAAAGACCGGGUUUCAUUAAUCAGAGGAUUUUGAGCACAGGCACCCUCUCAGUAGAUUUGAGUCAUUCUUUGGUCAGGGCUAGGCAUCGGUAUCGGUGAUAAUGUUUUCAAUAACAUUACUAAGUAAAAACAACGUAGUUCUAGGCUUGACACCAGCUCCACAUCAGACAAUUUACAUCUAAAAGAAUUAAGACUGAUUUGAAAGAGAUGUAUUAAAUUGCUUCGGUGGGAUGCUUAUUUGAAGACUGAGUGUUUUUGAAGGACUGAGUGUAAUUAUUCUUUUUUACCACUUAAAUAUAUGGUAUUGUGAAGAUAUUAUAAUAUCUUACGUUUCCACUUCAAUAUCAAGGACUUGUAAUAGAAAUUGUAAGUUAAUACAUUUCUAUACUUUCUUUAAAAAAUGGUUUAUCUAUGAGGAAAAGACAGGAAAGAGACCUGCAACUUUUAAAACAAUGUCACUUUUCUAUCAUUUUGUUAUUUUUAUCAAUCAGUCCCUUUUCAUUUUUACUGUUCUUCAGAUGUACUACAGAGGCCGGAUGUACCAAGACGGGCACUAUGUUUACAAAUAUCUCUACGUGUUUCCUCCAGGACAACAUCCAAAAUACCACGGAUUAAACCGUUACCAUCCUGUUGUGUUAGCGGACAAAGAAAUGGCGGAGGAAAACGAAGAAAUUGUGACUCAACAACAGGAAGGUCAAGAAAAUGCUUCCUGAACACAGAAGUGUAAAUAAAAACGUAAAAGAGAUAGGUAUCAAGAUUAAGAACUGUAUGUUAAGACCUGUGCUGUAGUGAAACGGGAUUGUAGCAAUGUAAGCAAAUAUAAAAAGGAAAAAAAUAAAACCAUCUUUAGAGGAAUGCAAGGCAAUACAAUCUGUGAUGUCUCUGCAUUGUUUAAAUAAAUGUAUUUAAUUAUUUUUCGUAUU